rnacentral:lncRNA from 1 species
GCCCGGCGCGGUGGCUCACGCCUGUGAUCCCGGCACUUUGGGAGGCCGAGGCGGGCGGAUCACGAGGUCGGGAGAUCGAGACCGUCCUGGCUAACACGGUGAAACCCCGUCUCUAUUGAAAAUAAAAAUAAAAAAAGAUACUAGCCGGGCGUGGUGGCGGCGCCUGUGGUCCCAGGCCCGGGAAUGGCGUGAACCCGGGAGGCGGAGCUUGCAGGGAGCCGAGAUCGCGCCACUGCACUUCGCCCGGGCGACAGAGCGGGACUCCGUCUCAAAAAAAAAAAAAAAAGAAAAUCAGUCAGAAACUGGUGGGGCACGGUGGCUGACGCCUGUAAUCCCAGCACUUUGGGAGGCCAAGGCGGGCGGAUCAAGAGUUCAAGACCAGCCUGACCAACAUGGAGAAACCCCGUCUCUACUAAAAAUACAAAAUUAGCCGGGCAUGGUGGCACAUGGCUGUAAUCCCAGCUACUCAGGAGGCUGAGGCAGGAGAGUCGCUUGAACCCGGGAGGCGGAGGUUGCGGUGAGCCGAGAUUGCGCCAUUGCGCUCCAGCCUGGGCAACAGGAGCGAAACUACGUGUCAAAAAAAAAAAAAAAAUCUGAAACUACGCCCCACCCCUCACUCAUUCUACAGAUGAGGCUAUUGUGACUCACCUAGAAUUAAGCUCUGGUCUCCUCCACCACUGCCCCUGCCGGCCUCCCA